rnacentral:misc_RNA from 1 species
AAGUCGUAACAAGGUUUCCGUAGGUGAACCUGCGGAAGGAUCAUCAAUAGUCUCGAGUCUUGUCCGGGGGGCACUUGUGUUCUCCGGCUUGACAAUACCUUCUUGUGCACUGUCUGUUGGUUAUGACUGACUGGGGGAGUUGCUGGGAUGUACUUUUUUGGUAUGUCUUGCGCCCCCAGCCGGUCGUUUGUUUAUACAAACACUGUUAAUAUAAUUGUCUCAGAAUCUUGUUGUGAAAAUUGUUGAAAUAUACAUACAACUUACAGCGAUGGAUCUCUAGGCUCUGGU